rnacentral:rRNA from 1 species
CCUACGGGAGGCAGCAGUGAGGAAUAUUGGUCAAUGGGCGCGAGCCUGAACCAGCCAAGUAGCGUGAAGGAUGACUGCCCUACGGGUUGUAAACUUCUUUUAUAAAGGAAUAAAGUGAGGCACGUGUGCCUUUUUGUAUGUACUUUAUGAAUAAGGCACGGCUAACUCCGUGCCAGCAGCCGCGGUAAUACGGAGGAUCCGAGCGUUAUCCGGAUUUAUUGGGUUUAAAGGGAGCGUAGAUGGGUUGGUAAGUCAGUUGUGAAAGUUUGCGGCGCAACCGUAAAAUUGCAAUUGAUACUGGCUGUCUUGAGUACAGUGGAGGUAGGCGGAAUGCGUGGUGUAGCGGUGAAAUGCUUAGAUAUCACGAAGAACUCCGAUUGCGAAGGCAGCUUACUAAACUGCCACUGACAUUGAUGCUCGAAAGUGUGGGUAUCAAACAGGAUUAGAUACCCCUGUAGUC